rnacentral:rRNA from 1 species
UACGUAGGGUGCGAGCGUUAAUCGGAAUUACUGGGCGUAAAGGGCGUGUAGGCGGCCAACUAAGUCCGACGUGAAAUCCCCAGGCUUAACCUGGGAACUGCGUCGGAUACUGGAUGGCUUGAAUCCGGGAGAGGGAUGCAGAAUUCCAGGUGUAGCGGUGAAAUGCGUAGAUAUACGGAGGAACACCAGCGGCGAAGGCGGGUAGCUGGGCCAACACUGACGCUGAUGCGCGAAAGCUAGGGGAGCAAACGGG